GCAUUCAGUUCAUAACAAUAGCAAACAUUUCAUGAAGCAGUGAUGUAAGACAAUAUACAUUUUAUGAUGCCCACGGGCUCUGUGUGUCAGGAUUUGCACACAGGAUCCAGCAGAGAUGGCAUGCUUUUCUCAAUAUUGUCUGGGAUAUCAAAUGGGAAGACUGGAACACCCAGGGGAGAUUCGGAUGCCUGAGAUCUGGAGCUGCUGGAGCUGGAGGAAUUGAUUUCCAACUAGAUUUCUUCACUCACACGUCUCGUGCUUGGGCUGGAUGGCUGAAGGUCAGCCCAGCUGGCACUGUCACCUGGAGCACGGACUUAGGGUCUUGCCAUGGGGUCCAGGCUUCUCACCGCAUACAGAGUGAGUUCUGAAGGAGAAGAUCUUCAAGGGAACAAGUGUCCUAAGAGACCACCCUCAAAUGCCACGUGGUUCCAACUUUUCUCAAGGGGAAGUCCCAGUGACAUGUGACAAAUGUGCUGUGGCCUCCAGGAGCUGUUCUCCAAGGAGGCACUUAUUUCAUUUGACUCCAAGCAUCCAACCUCAACAGAUGGCAGAAUUCAGACGGGUGGCGGGAAGCAGGCUUCAGUUACUGCAGGAAGACUCAAGUUAGACAAUGGGAAGAACUUUCCUUCCCUGGAACACCAGCUUUUUUCAGCGACUAUUUUGCAAUGUGAUACACAGACUCAACAUAGACACUUUCACGUGAAUAAAAGUGCUCUCUGUAGAAAUGGGGGGGAAAAACCCCAGUUGAUAGAAACUAGACUUUUAGCUCAGACUCCCAGAUUUUCUGCAAUACACUCAUUCCACAAAGGGUGUCACCCUGGUGAGCACUUUUGGCUUAAAUGAAGGCUCAGUGUCUCUUUUUGGAGAGCAGACAACAUUUUAAGGACAUAAAU
rnacentral:lncRNA from 1 species